rnacentral:rRNA from 1 species
GACGAACGCUGGCGGCGUGCUUAAUACAUGCAAGUCAACGACUUUUAGAGUAGCAAUAUUUUAAAGGAAGUGGCGCACGAGUGAGUAACACGUAGGUAAUCUGCCUUCAGGACUGACACAACUCGUCGAAAGACGGGCUAAUAUCAGAUAAUGCAGCGGCUCCGCAUGGAGACAGUUGUUAAAGUACAAGCGCCUGAAGAUGAGCCUGCGGUCCAUUAGCUAGUUGGUAGAGUAACAGCCUACCAAGGCAACGAUGGAUAGCUGGUCUGAGAGGAUGAUCAGCCACACUGGAACUGAGACACGGUCCAGACUCCUACGGGAGGCAGCAGUAAGGAAUAUUGCUCAAUGGCCGAAAGGCUGAAGCAGCAACGCCGCGUGAAGGAUGAAU